GCAAACUUGGUCAUUUAGAGGAAGUAAAAGUCGUAACAAGGUUUCCGUAGGUGAACCUGCGGAAGGAUCAUUAUUGAAUAACCUUGAUGGGUUGUUGCUGGCCUCUCGAGGCAUGUGCACGCCUGUCUUGACUCUAUUCAUCCACCUGUGCACCUAUUGUAGUUCUGUACUCACUGGGGGUCAAGAAAGCGGGCUAUUGUUCAGUUGAAACACACUGGAUUUGAGGAUUGCUAUUCUGGCUUUCUUCUGCUAGCUUUGUGGAAUUGUACUUCCUCGAGGAUAGGGCUAUGUCUUUUAUCAUAAACCAUGUAGUAUGUUGCCAGAAUGUAUUCAAUGGGCCUUAGUGCCUAUAAAACCUUAUACAACUUUCAGCAACGGAUCUCUUGGCUCUCGCAUCGAUGAAGAACGCAGC
rnacentral:misc_RNA from 1 species